CUAGGGAUGGCAUGAGAUACUCAGGCCGACUUGGGUGCAGGCAACAGAUCAUGCAAGCCUUCAUGGGGGCUGAGCCACUGGGUACCCUACCUGAUUUAGAUACAGUCCAGAAAGAACAGGCCGGAACUCACAAACUCUAGGUGUCCCCAGCACGUGCAGGUGGGCAGAGCCAUGACCACGGCACCAGGGACAUUUUUGCCUUAAAGUCCAGUGAGGACCCAGAGAAGAACAUGAGUGAGACUCCCCGUGGUGGCCACAGCAAGAGCUUCCAUUGCUGGGAGCUGUGGAGGGUGAUGCUUUCAGAAAUUGAAGUUGUACCUGAAAGUUUGUAAAUUGAGAGGAGAUGGAACCAGAAGCAAGAGAGAUACGACUAAUUGGCAGAUUUGUUCCCCUGCCCUCAAUGGAGUGAGGGCAUGCAAGGAAGAUAGAAUCAACUCUGGAAAAGCACAGAAACCUCCCUUUCUUUGCUCCUGGCUAUUUCGCUGGGAACUGAAUGUCGGUACUGUCUCUGGAGAUGGAGCUGGGUUCACAUCGUGGUUGUAUCACUUACAGUUUCGUGAUGUGGGCCACAAUACUAACCUUUCUGAGCCCCAGGUCCUUGCCUAUAAAAUGGAAGAAAUAAUGGUUGGUAUCAAUCUCACUGGGAAGUUGUGGGAAUUAAAUGAUACAAUGUGCACGUGAAACCCUCAGUAGGAUGCCUGCCAUGUUGUAAGUGGGAUUGCUAUUGGAUGUUUUUAUUAUCGUUACUACUAUUAUAAUUUGGAUGUCGCUUGGAACUUCUCUGCCUCUUGGGGAUUUAGUUUGAAAAUUUAAUUCAACAGCUGGUGGAAGCUGAAGUUUUUCUUAUAAUUUCUGUUUUAUCCCAACCAUACACUCCCUUGUUAAGGUGCUUCUGUUUCUACUCUUCUAUUGAUGGACACCAUCUUGCUUGGCUUGAAUUUACCUUCUGCCCAUUCACAUUGAGCCAAGCCUUUUAUAAAAGUGUCCUUUUACUGAAGAUGUGGAAUUUCACAGAAGAGGGAUUGUAGUACACUGUGUAGGUCAUGACCCUCUUCCUUCCCACUCAUGUCCUGCUUCUUCUAGGGCUCACGUGCCAACAUGUGCCUCAACCAUAUCAUUUAGUUCCUGAAUGGGUAAUUGAUUCCCUCUGUCUGACAGUUUUCCUCUCAAAGAAUAGACCCAACCAGCAGGAGUUUCUUUCUUGGCCCCCCUGGACUGCUGGUGAGUAAAAAUUCUCAGUCAUUAUCUUCCAUUCUGUCAUUAGAUUACCCUGGACCUCAGUGGAG
rnacentral:lncRNA from 13 species